CCUACGGGAGGCAGCAGUGAGGAAUAUUGGGCAAUGGGCGUAAGCCUGAACCAGCCAAGUCGCGUGAGGGAUGAAGGUUCUAUGGAUCGUAAACCUCUUUUAUAAGGGAGUAAAGUGCGGGACGUGUCCCGUUUUGUAUGUACCUUAUGAAUAAGGAUCGGCUAACCCCGUGCAAGCAGCCGCGGUAAUACGGAGGAGCCGAGCGUUAUCCGGAUUUGUUGGGUUGAAAGGGUGCGUAGGCGGCCUUUUAAGUCAGCGGUGAAAGUCUGUGGUUCAACCAUAGAAGUGCAGUUGAAACUGGAAGGCUUGAGUAUGUUUGAGGCAGGCGGAACGCGUGGUGUAGCGGUGAAAUGCUUAGAUAUCACGCAGAACCCCGAUUGCGAAGGCAGCCUGCCAAGCCAUGACUGACGCUGAUGCACGAAAGCGUGGGGAUCAAACAGGAUUAGAUACCCCUGUAGUC
rnacentral:rRNA from 1 species